AAGGGUAAAUAUUGGCGAGAGACCGAUAGCGAACCAAGUGCCGGGAGGGAGAUGAAAAAUACUUUGAAAAGAGAGUUAAACAGUACGUGAAAUUGUUGAAAGGGAAACGAUUGAAGUCAGUCAUACCAACGGGAAAUCAACCUUUUUGGGUCGGUUUCGUGGGUUUUGAAGAAUUUCAAAGCCUUCGGAUUCGCGGGAUUGGGAUUUUUGGGUGUA
rnacentral:rRNA from 1 species